rnacentral:rRNA from 1 species
UACGGAGGGGACUAGCGUUGUUCGGAAUUACUGGGCGUAAAGCGCACGUAGGCGGAUUUGUAAGUCAGGGGUGAAAUCCCGGGGCUCAACCUCGGAACUGCCUUUGAUACUGCAAAUCUCGAGUCCGGAAGAGGUGAGUGGAAUUCCUAGUGUAGAGGUGAAAUUCGUAGAUAUUAGGAAGAACACCAGUGGCGAAGGCGGCUCACUGGUCCGGUACUGACGCUGAGGAGCGAAAGCAUGGGGAGCGAACAGG